AAUGAAACCGUAAUCAAUACAAUUCAAUUCAAUUAAUUGUUUGCGGACUACUAAAGCAAUAUUGCACAAAGCACCUACCAAGCUCUUUUUGAUAUACAAAUGCAACCUCUAAAACUACUAUCUACUUUUACAUCGCUAGCAUGCAGUAAACCAACUUACUUUCACCAUGCCUGGGUUUAGGUACGCUAAUACGUGGCUGAGGAUGUAAUGCAGUCAGCCAUUCGCAGUAUACGUUAACGCAAUCCUUGAUGGUUUCAUGCUC